rnacentral:tRNA from 1 species
UCCCUGGAGGACUAGUGGUUAGGCCACAGCACUCUCACUGCUGCAGCCCGGGUUCGAUAACUGGCCAGGGAA